AUGUCAUGUUAUGGGCAACUUGUACACAAUCUUUUGAACCUCUCCCAAUAUUCAUAUAGUUCUUCAGUAUCUUUCUGUUUGAUACUAUUGAUCUCUCUUCUAAUGU